rnacentral:rRNA from 1 species
UACGUAGGGUGCGAGCGUUAAUCGGAAUUACUGGGCGUAAAGCGUGCGUAGGUGGUUUACUAAGUCAGGUGUGAAUCCCCGGGCUCAACCUGGGAACUGCGCUUGAUACUGGUAAACUAGAGUUUAGUAGAGGGAAGUGGAAUUCCACGUGUAGCGGUGAAAUGCGUAGAUAUGUGGAGGAACACCAGUGGCGAAGGCGGCUUCCUGGACUAAAACUGACGCUGAGGCACGAAGGCGUGGGGAGCGAACGGG